GUAGUUUGAUCCUGGCUCAGAUUGAACGCUGGGCGGCAUGCCUUACACAUGCAAGUCGAACGGCAGCAUGAUCUAGCUUGCUAGGAUUGAUGGCGAGUGGCGAACGGGUGAGUAAGUACAUCGGAACGUGCCCUGUAGUGGGGGAUAACUAGUCGAAAGAGUUAGGCUAAUACCGCAUACGACCUGAGGGUGAAAGUGGGGGGACCGCAAGGCCUCAUGCUAUAGGAGCGGCCGAUGUCUGAUUAGCUAGUUGGUGGGGU
rnacentral:rRNA from 1 species